UGGGGAAUAUUGCACAAUGGGCGCAAGCCUGAUGCAGCCAUGCCGCGUGUGUGAAGAAGGCCUUCGGGUUGUAAAGCACUUUCAGCGGGGAGGAAGGCGAUAAGGUUAAUAACCUCAUCGAUUGACGUUACCCGCAGAAGAAGCACCGGCUAACUCCGUGCCAGCAGCCGCGGUAAUACGGAGGGUGCAAGCGUUAAUCGGAAUUACUGGGCGUAAAGCGCACGCAGGCGGUCUGUCAAGUCGGAUGUGAAAUCCCCGGGCUCAACCUUGGAACUGCAUUCGGAACUGGCAGGCUAGAGUCUUGUAGAGGGGGGUGGAAUUCCAGGUGUAGCGGUGAAAUGCGUAGAGAUCUGGAGGAAUACCCGUGGCGUAGGCGGCCCCCUGGAAAAAGACUGACGCUCAGGUGCGAAAGCGUGAGGAGCAAACAGG
rnacentral:rRNA from 1 species